GCGUCGGUAGUGCAACUGGUUAGCACGCGGCCCCAAAAGGGUGAAGUGCGGGUUUGAAUCCCGUUUGACGUU